rnacentral:rRNA from 1 species
AGUGGCGAACGGGUGAGUAACGCGUGAGGAACCUGCCUCAAAGAGGGGGACAACAGUUGGAAACGACUGCUAAUACCGCAUAAGCCCACGGGUCGGCAUCGACCAGAGGGAAAAGGAGUAAUCCGCUUUGAGAUGGCCUCGCGUCCGAUUAGCUAGUUGGUGAGGUAAUGGCUCACCAAGGCUGCGAUCCGUAACUGGUCUGAGAGGAUGAUCAGUCACAUCGGAACUGAGACACGGUCCGAACUCCUACGGGAGGCAGCAGUGGGGAAUAUUGGACAAUGGGCGAAAGCCUGAUCUAGCAAUACCGCGUGUGUGAAGAAGGCCUUCGGGUUGUAAAGCACUUUAGGUCGGAAAGAAAAAACUUGAGUUAAUACCUUAAGUCUUGACGGUACCGACAGAAUAAGCACCGGCUAACUCUGUGCCAGCAGCCGCGGUAAUACAGAGGGUGCAAGCGUUAAUCGGAUUUACUGGGCGUAAAGCGUGCGUAGGUGGCUGUCUAAGUCGGAUGUGAAAGCCCUGGGCUUAACCUGGGAACUGCAUUCGAUACUGGAUAGCUAGAGAUCGGUAGAGGGCAGCGGAAUUCCGGGUGUAGCGGUGAAAUGCGUAGAUAUCCGGAGGAACACCGAUGGCGAAGGCAACUGCCUGGGCC